AGGGUUUGAUCAUGGCUCAGAUUGAACGCUGGCGGUAUGCUUAACACAUGCAAGUCGAACGGCAGCGCGUUGGUUUCUUCGGAAACCGAUGGCGGCGAGUGGCGGACGGGUGAGUAACGCGUAGGAAUCUACUUCAAAGUGGGGAAUAACUCGGGGAAACUCGAGCUAAUACCGCAUAUGUUCUACGGAAUAAAGCUGGGGAUCGUUUCGGCGGCCUGGUGCUUUGAAAUGAGCCUGCGUCAGACUAGCUUGUUGGUGAGGUAAUAGCUCACCAAGGCGACGAUCUGUAGCUGGUCUGAGAGGACGAUCAGCCACACUGGGACUGAGACACGGCCCAGACUCCUACGGGAGGCAGCAGUGGGGAAUAUUGGACAAUGGGCGAAAGCCUGAUCCAGCAAUACCGCGUGUGUGAAGAAGGCCUUCGGGUUGUAAAGCACUUUCAAUAGAGAAGAAAUGCUUAAGGUUAAUACCCUUGAGAGUUGACUUAACCUAUAGAAGAAGCACCGGCUAACUCUGUGCCAGCAGCCGCGGUAAUACAGAGGGUGCGAGCGUUAAUCGGAAUUACUGGGCGUAAAGAGCGCGUAGGUGGAUGUUUAAGUCGGAUGUGAAAGCCCUGGGCUUAACCUGGGAACUGCAUUCGAUACUGGGCAUCUUGAGUAUGGUAGAGGGAAGUGGAAUUUCCGGAGUAGCGGUGAAAUGCGUAGAUACCGGAAGGAACACCAGUGGCGAAGGCGGCUUCCUGGACCAAUACU
rnacentral:rRNA from 1 species